rnacentral:rRNA from 1 species
UACGUAGGGACCAAGCGUUGUUCGGAUUUACUGGGCGUAAAGGGCGCGUAGGCGGCGCAAUAAGUCACUUGUGAAAUCUCCGGGCUUAACUCGGAACGGUCAACUGAUACUGCGCGGCUAGAGUGCGGAAGGGGCAACUGGAAUUCUCGGUGUAGCGGUGAAAUGCGUAGAUAUCGAGAGGAACACCUGCGGCGAAGGCGGGUUGCUGGGCCGACACUGACGCUGAUGCGCGAAAGCCAGGGGAGCGAACGGG